rnacentral:rRNA from 1 species
UACGGAGGAUGCAAGCGUUAUCCGGAAUGAUUGGGCGUAAAGCGUCCGCAGGUGGCAAUGUAAGUCUGCUGUCAAAGCGUCUGGCUCAACCAGAUAAAGGCAGUGGAAACUACAUAGCUAGAGUAAGGUAGGGGUAGAGGGAAUUCCCGGUGUAGCGGUGAAAUGCGCAGAUAUCGGGAAGAACACCCGUGGCGAAGGCGGCUCUCUGGGACGGUACUGACUCUGAGACGCGAAAGCGUGGGGAGCGAACAGG